GUGAUACUCCCUCCAUCCGGAAAUACCCUUGUCAUCAAAAUAGACAAAAAGAGGUGUAUCUAGAACUAAAAUAUAUUUGAUACAUCCCUUUUAUUCAUCUUGAUGAUAAGUAUUUUUGGACGGAGGGAGUACAAA
rfam:Triticum aestivum genome assembly, contig: Triticum_aestivum_CS42_TGACv1_scaffold_556006_7AL